rnacentral:tRNA from 1 species
GCCAGUGUGGUGUGGUGGUUUGAAUGUUGGACUAGGAAUCUGGAGACAAGGGUUUGAAUCCCUGCUCUGCCU